CUGUAGCCAAUUAAGCCAACCAUCUCCCUCUCCUUUGUGGGGGACGGCUGUGAAGUGGCUGCAGACAGCAGCCUCCUUGGAUAGUGGAUGCAGACUGUUGAGACCUUGGAGACAGCC
rnacentral:snoRNA from 1 species